rnacentral:tRNA from 1 species
GAGGUAUUAGUAAAAAUUACAUAACUUUGUCAAAGUUAAAUUAUAGGU